AAAUACAACAUUGCAAGGUUUAGUUAACAAAUUUUUAGACACGCCUUUGUGGUGUUUUAAGUACAGUUCGUGUUUAUGUCAAGUGUUUGAAUGGAGGAGCAGACCAUAAACCAACUUGACAACCUGCUGCUUCAGUUAGGUAUAGAGACGCAAGAACUUGCUCAGAGGAAGGAUGACAUCAAACACCAAAUACAAAUUUUGGAGUCCAGCAUUCAGGAGAAGAAAGAUUAUAUUAACACAACCCAGAAGACCAUCAAAAAACUCGAUGAAGAAAUUAAUCAGAAACAGG